AUUGAUCAUUUAAAGAAUUGUUGGCAGGUCCAAAAGGAAUGUUUUGUUUAUCUCUGUGGAAGAUAUCUGACGUUUGGUUCCCACUUCUAACAAGGCUUAUGAGCCAAUAGUAAAAUGACGUUGGUAUCACGUAGUAUCUCUGCUUGGCAACCACUUGUUAUGAAGUGAAUGCAAUGAAACGGGGGAGGGAGAAUGCGACAUCUUGUAGUUGAAUGGUAACACUGGCACCUUUAAUACUUGCCAUCAAUUAUUAUGGUGUAUUACACAUUAAACGUUUAUGGAUGGGUCAAAAUGUGUCUUUUUUAUACAAUUAUGUUGAAAACUGUAUUGUUCAUAUAUUGUAUAAAAAUAUGAACCUUCAAUAAAGCAUGAAGAAAGUAAACAAUCCAUAGCUGCAGGUCUAGAAAAAUAAAGUGAUUUGAUGAAUCUAUUGCAAUGUGUAUUGCAGGGCUCGACAUUAACGCUUGCCCGCUUGAAAUAAACUCUGUGUUCGGGGAAAUGGAA